GGAGGCGUACCCAAGAGGCCGAAGGGGGCAGGUUGCUAACCUGUUAGUAGGGGGUCACCCCUAGCUCGAGUUCGAAUCUCGACGCCUCCGCCA
rnacentral:tRNA from 1 species